CCGAGUACGGGUCUCUAUCCCCUUCCCGGGGGGUGGGGGCCCAGACCUCCCACCCUUGUCGAUCGUACCGUGUUGCUUCGGCGGGCCCGCCAUGGUUGGCCGCCGGGGGGGUUUGCAUUCGCAAGCCCCCGGGCCCGUGCCCGCCGGAGACCUCUCUCGAAACGCUACCGUGGUCAGGAAUGCUGUCUGAGUGGUGAGAAAUUGAUCAA
rnacentral:misc_RNA from 1 species